UGACAAGCUGAUCCCUAGCCUGGUGAAGUAUUACUACUCCUGGAAGAAGACAAGGAGCCGCACGAGUGUCAUGGACCGACAGGCCCGCCGGCUGCUCAGCAAGAAGGAGAGGGAUGACAGUAACGACGAGAUGGAGGAGGGACGGGCAGCCAGCGAGGGGGAGUUUGAUGCCAUGGACCCCAAGAAGGAGCCGAGCUACCAGAAGCUGCCGAACAGCCGGCCGGGCCCAGGAUCGGGCUCAGGGCCUGUGAGGAAGGAGGCGCAGCUGUCGCAGUAUCGGCACCACCCACUGCG